rnacentral:lncRNA from 1 species
GGUAUGAUGAUGGCAGUGUGAUUUUUAUUCAUUAAUCAUUCAUACAUUAUUAUUAUAAAUAUUACAAACUAUUAGAAUGCGAUUGAUGCAACACGAAGCAAACACCACAUUUCUUUUAGAGGUUGAUAGUAGCCGAAUACAACACCUCGACAGGAACAAGAGUGAAUAUGUUAUGAUUAAACGCGAUGAUCGCAUCCGACCACUCAAUCGCUCCCCAUAUCUCACCUUCUUCCUCGCGUCUCUUCAACGAAAUUUCCGCACACCAAACAUCUCCUCUGCGGCUAACCCAAAAGACAACGAUGUUCGCACCAAAACUGCUCAGCCCCCUGACACUGAGACGCUUCCUGAACCGAGAGGACCCAGAGAAAACCCUCUGUAGAGCCUCCAGACCCUUCACUUUCUUCCACUCCAAUUCCUCCGACUCGCGCCAAAACACAUUCCCAACCUCAUCGCAACCGUACAACAAAUUCUCUACCACGCAAUAAUAGCUUUUGAUCUCGCUCCUCUUCUUUCUCUCCCAUUCACCUUCGCGCGGCGAGUACUGGAGCGAGCAUCCUCCGCUCCAGAACUCCACGGCGUGAAGCUUCUCAUCCAUCACCAGCGUGUCGCGGAUAACGUUAUCACCUUCGUUCCGAUCCUGCAUGGGCGCUAACGUCUCCCAAGUGUUCGUCUUCGGGUCGAACACCUCUGCCCAGUUGGAGGAAUCAACCUCCUCGCAGCCUCCGAACACGUAUAUCUUACCGCCCACGACUCCAGCGGCCGCUGUAAGUAUAAAUUCCAAUCUUGUGAUAUGAACGAAGAAUAUUAAAAAAAAAAAAAAAAAAAAGGUCAACAUUUCAGUUCUGUUAGCCAUUGGUGUCUUCUCUGAUCUUUCCAAAAGUUCCCUACUAGUUUAGUGGUUCGUUUUAAAUUUAGGAGUAAACUAAAAACAUCCUAAAACAAGGUAAAGAAAAGGUUGGGAAACGUAUGCAAUUGAUGCACUCGCAAGUGUUAUUCACAGAGAGAGAGAGUGUGUUGACUCUUAUCAACAUUAUGAAGCUAGGAACAGAAGACGAGUUUUUGGUAGAAAGGGAUUCAAAACAGAGACAAAGAAGAAGAAGAAAGGAGGCCAGUGUUACAGUUUUGACUACAUAUGAUUGAAGCUGUUGUCUCCGCUUUGCCUCACUCUUAGUGUCAGGUAGAUCAAUACCAAUGGUAAUGGUAAAGGUCGUCGCGGCGGCGGUGAAAGGUCGACUUCGCCGGCGAGAGCUGCUUCUUCUGCGGCGGGGGCGAAGUUUCCGUGGAGCAAUAUGAAAUUUGGUGGCAAGUAAGGUCUUUUUUUUGCUGUGGUUUAUGACCAAAUUACUAUCUGGGGUUUGUGUUUCUGUUGCUUGCUUGAAGUUUCUGUCUUUUAAAGAGACAAGGUUGAUCGUGAAUCUUAUAAAGCUCUCAGAGUUUCUCAGACAGACUUUGGCAAAUAAACUAUUAUGGAAACAAAUUAAGGGUAAUGAAUGGUAUGAUGAUGGCAGUGUGAUUUUUAUUCAUUAAUCAUUCAUACAUUAUUAUUAUAAAUAUUACAAACUAUUAGAAUGCGAUUGAUGCAACACGAAGCAAACACCACAUUUCUUUUAGAGGUUGAUAGUAGCCGAAUACAACACCUCGACAGGAACAAGAGUGAAUAUGUUAUGAUUAAACGCGAUGAUCGCAUCCGACCACUCAAUCGCUCCCCAUAUCUCACCUUCUUCCUCGCGUCUCUUCA